UACAGAGGGUGCAAGCGUUGUUCGGAAUUAUUGGGCGUAAAGGGCGCGUAGGCGGUGCUGUAAGUCUGUGGUGAAAUCUCUGGGCUCAACCCAGAGGCUGCUUCCAAAACUGCCGUGCUUGAGUGUGGGAGAGGCGCGUGGAAUUGCAGGUGUAGCGGCGAAAUGCGUAGAUAUCUGCAGGAACACCCGUGGCGAAAGCGGCGCGCUGGACCACAACUGACGCUGAGGAACGAAAGCUAGGGGAGCAAACAGG
rnacentral:rRNA from 1 species